UUAUAUUUUCGAUUUCAUUGUUACAGGUAUGUGUGAUUGAUUUAUUGGUUUAAUAUCAUUAUCAUUAUUUCGAUUAUUUGAAUAAAACAUUGUUACAGAUGCAAUCAAGUUAAUUCAAUAAACAAUUGGAAUCUUACAAAUCGGAAAUAUAAUUUGUUUGACAUCUGGAUAUGUCAAAAUACCAGAUUUUUAUUGUGGCUGAGGACAGCAAUACAAAUGAGCAAACAACGGUUCUGAAGCUGAAAAGAAUCAAAGCAGCCGACGAAGAGACUUGGUACAGUUUUCCUAAUGAAUUCCAAAGUCUGAAUGACCAUAGAAAUUUGUCCGAUCUAUCAUCAGUUAAAUCUGCAGCAGGUUCAAUAAAAUCAACGGGACAGUUUCGCAAUGUUUAUGUAAUUCUAUCUUCAGAACUGAAGAAAAUUCAUAAAGAUGAAGCAGGUUAUUAUAUUUUCGAAUUGGAAUCUUACAAAUCCAGACCAAAAAGUGGCACGUUGAGGAUGGAGAUUCUUUUCAACAAUCAUUCUUGGAUUUUCUGAUACCCAAAUGGGAAAUUUAUGCUAUUAACGUAGCCUCAAGAUGCAAUCAAGUUAAUUCAAUAACGAAUUGAAAUCUUACAAAUCGAGAUUAUAAUUUUUUUGACAUCUCGAUAUAUCAAAAUACCAGAUUUUCAUUGUGGCUGAGGACAGGAAUACAAAUGAGCAAAUAACGGUUCUGAAGCUGAAAAGAAUCAAAGCAGCCGACGAAGAGACUUGGCACAGUUGAUGAAUUCCAAAGUUUGAAAGAUCAUAGAAAUUUGUCCGAUCUAUCAUCAGUUAAAUCUGCAGUAGAUUCUAUAAAAUCAACGGGACAGUUUCGCAAUGUUCAUGUAAUUCUAUCUUCAGAACUGGAGAAAAUUUAUAAAGAUGAAGCAGGUUAUUAUAUUCUCGAUUUGAAAUCUUACAAAUCCGGAACAAACAGUGGCACGUUGAGGAUGGAGAUGCUUUUCAACUUCUUUCAUUCUUGGAUUUUCCGAUCCCCAAAUGGGAAAAUUAUGCUUAUUAACGUAGCCUCUAAGGUGAAAAUGGGCCUCAUCACUGAAGAUGAUUUUUCGAUGAAAAUCCGGAUCAUUUUGAUGCAUUUCGAGGAUCCAAUCAGCGAAGAUACGAAGCAGACUUGAUCACUGCGAUUGACCAAGAGAACUGAAACUUCCCUUGAACCCUUAAAGUAUAACACCCUCUUCACAUCGACAGAGAAGAGAACCUCAAAGCUACCACAUCCGCGUGAGUAGAAGCAAGACAGUGUGGCACAUGAGCAAGAGCAACCCUUACACGCUUUGGACAACGUGACCAAUUUUUCUGUAAUAUGAGGUAGGUUUAUGAAUAGAAGUCAAUUAAUUGGAAUUCUUAAUAUAGAUUCGCGGGGUUAAUAUCUUUAGAAUUGAAACGUUUUGCUUCGUGACAACAAACAAAGGCUCAAAUUUGAAUGAGGGGGUUCGAU